rnacentral:rRNA from 1 species
UGGGGAAUAUUGCACAAUGGGCGCAAGCCUGAUGCAGCCAUGCCGCGUGUAUGAAGAAGGCCUUCGGGUUGUAAAGUACUUUCAGCGGGGAGGAAGGCGAUGCGGUUAAUAACCGCGUCGAUUGACGUUACCCGCAGAAGAAGCACCGGCUAACUCCGUGCCAGCAGCCGCGGUAAUACGGAGGGUGCAAGCGUUAAUCGGAAUUACUGGGCGUAAAGCGCACGCAGGCGGUCUGUCAAGUCGGAUGUGAAAUCCCCGGGCUCAACCUGGGAACUGCAUCCGAAACUGGCAGGCUUGAGUCUCGUAGAGGGGGGUAGAAUUCCAGGUGUAGCGGUGAAAUGCGUAGAGAUCUGGAGGAAUACCGGUGGCGAAGGCGGCCCCCUGGACGAAGACUGACGCUCAGGUGCGAAAGCGUGGGGAGCAAACA